rnacentral:rRNA from 1 species
UACGUAGGUGGCAAGCGUUGUCCGGAAUUAUUGGGCGUAAAGCGCGCGCAGGCGGUCUUUUAAGUCUGAUGUGAAAGCCCACGGCUCAACCGUGGAGGGUCAUUGGAAACUGGGGGACUUGAGUACAGAAGAGAAGAGUGGAAUUCCACGUGUAGCGGUGAAAUGCGCAGAUAUCGAGAGGAACACCUGCGGCGAAGGCGGGUUGCUGGGCUGAUACUGACGCUGAGGCGCGAAAGCCAGGGGAGCGAACGGG